rnacentral:rRNA from 1 species
UACAGAGGGGGCAAGCGUUGUUCGGAAUUACUGGGCGUAAAGGGCGCGUAGGCGGCCCGCUAAGUCGAACGUGAAAUCCCCGGGCUCAACCCGGGAACUGCGUCCGAUACUGGCAGGCUUGAAUCCGGGAGAGGGAUGCGGAAUUCCAGGUGUAGCGGUGAAAUGCGUAGAUAUCUGGAGGAACACCUGUGGUGUAGACGGCUUACUGGACCACGACUGACGCUGAGACACGAAAGUGUGGGGAGCAAACAGG